AAGACUAUAGACCUGCGGAGUACCUGCGGAAGGAUCAUUACCGAGUGCGGGCCCUCGCGGCCCAACCUCCCACCCUUGUCUCUAUACACCUGUUGCUUUGGCGGGCCCACCGGGGCCACCUGGUCGCCGGGGGACUGUCGUCUCCGGGCCCGCGCCCGCCGAAGCGCUCUGUGAACCCUGAUGAAGAUGGGCUGUCUGAGUACUAUGAAAAUUGUCAAAACUUUUAACAAUGGAUCUCUA
rnacentral:misc_RNA from 1 species